rnacentral:rRNA from 1 species
CCUACGGGAGGCAGCAGUGGGGAAUCUUGCGCAAUGGGCGAAAGCCUGACGCAGCCAUGCCGCGUGAAUGAUGAAGGUCUUAGGAUUGUAAAAUUCUUUCACCGGGGACGAUAAUGACGGUACCCGGAGAAGAAGCCCCGGCUAACUUCGUGCCAGCAGCCGCGGUAAUACGAAGGGGGCUAGCGUUGCUCGGAAUUACUGGGCGUAAAGGGAGCGUAGGCGGAUAGUUUAGUCAGAGGUGAAAGCCCAGGGCUCAACCUUGGAAUUGCCUUUGAUACUGGCUAUCUUGAGUACGGAAGAGGUAUGUGGAACUCCGAGUGUAGAGGUGAAAUUCGUAGAUAUUCGGAAGAACACCAGUGGCGAAGGCGACAUACUGGUCCGUUACUGACGCUGAGGCUCGAAAGCGUGGGGAGCAAACAGGAUUAGAUACCCUGGUAGUCCACGCUGUAAACGAAUGAGUGCUAGUUGUCGGCAUGCAUGCAUGUCGGUGACGCNGCUACGACAUAAGUACACCUCCGCCGUCGGGGAGGUACGGUCGGCGAAGAAGUUAAAACUAACGUAAAGAAAGUUAGUAGGACGUUGGAGACGNGCCGAACGGACGACACGAGGGGAGGAGG